UCUGGUUAAAAUGUGACAUCUGUUACCAAGACUUUUACAUGACUUUGGGUCGGUUGUGGUAAUCUUUUUGUUAUGUAUCUUUGCGUAAACCUUUUUGGUACUUUUGUUGGUGAAACACUGCGGCUUUGGGCCACUGAGCGCAGACGCAACACGACUGAAGUUUUAUCACCAAAGACUGUUUAUACGGCUCGCCGUCGUGGCGAUAACCCAACCGCGCUGAAAUUGGACUUUUCAGUCAAUAACACUACAUGCGCUCCACAUUUAAAUCAGAACAAACGGUCGAUGGAAGAAAACGCUCCAAAAAAAACCAAACACCCCUCGCAAUCUUGUGCAAGAAAAAAGGUCCCUAAUUGGACCGACACCACGCACAGACACGCACAGGCACGCACAGACACGCACACACACGCGCACACACACGCACGCCUCAGUUGUUCCACGUUGUGGCCUCCUCCCCGGGUUACCACGGCCACCGCCGACUAAUCCACAACGGUUACGUUUGCACAACGCGACACAAACGACGCACUACUUCUUUCGCACAUGCGCUCGCGGCCGAUGGAGAAAGGCACAUGUCACGUUAUCGAUCUCCUGAAGCGCCGCUUCUUCAUCCGCGGGACGGCGGCACGUCGUCCGAGCCGCUCCGCUUUAUUCACGGACGAAUCGGCAGAACACACACAUUGAUUUUUUUUUUUUCUUUUUCUGUUUUUUGGUGAAGCGGGAAAUCUGUAGACGCGCCGGCGGUUCAAUGGAGUCCCGCGUUUAUCCAAACACGUGAACCGUGUAUACACACACACACACACACACACACACAGCACUGCUAUCUUUGUGCGCGGGUCUUUGUUGUUUACACGUUGACGUUGUUGCACAGAAAGCAAUUGCGAGUUAUGAAAAAUGAAAUGUCACUAUUAAUCAAUGUAAUUGUGGACUCCGGUAGAAGGGGACGAAGAUGAGACAGAGGGUCGUCUCACCGUGGGAUUAUGUCUAUUUCAUUUUAAAUGCCCUGCCUGGGGUGAUUGUGGUGGAUUCUUUGAGUGUUUAGUUGAGAUUCGGCAGCAGAAAACCGGGUGACGGACUGAAAAUGAGCAUCACACCCUCUUGAGUCCAAAAAACGAUCCACUGUGGUCGGGCGGGUUUGACCAUCACCUUGAUUUAUAUUUCUACGCUUUGUACUGAAGUCUGCACUGAUUUCCGUUAUUAGCAUUUUAGCUGUGAGAAUCAUUCGUGUCGGGUCCGUGCCCUCAUUUCCUGUCUCCCCUUUCAGUGUGAUAAAGCACAAAUGUCCCAAAAUGCCCUUUUAAAAACGUUUUUUAAGGCAAUUUUCUGAUUAUUCUUUGACAGCUGAGACAGAAAAGAGACAUCAUGUGUGUCAAGACGCAUUGAUUCUGGAAGGAAAUGAAGCAUUUCACCCCCUCAGUCUCGGCCUGCUGGACGGCGUUCAUCCGCUCUGCAUUUCAGAGGCUCGCGUCUCCACCGUCUCCCCCCUGAAGUGGGCGCAGAACGCCGUCACCGCUCAAAUGACUCGGGUCAGCAGGCCGGGGGUCACCGGGUAACCGCCGGUGCUUUCAUUGUGCUAUUUUUUUAGAUCCUUUGUGUUUGUGCUUCUGUUUGCCUUUUACGUAGCGUGACCCUUUAGGGUGAUUUAGGGUUUCAAUAACCAACAGCUGGUUCUGUCUGCAUGUGACUAAUAACGAUCUGCAACCCGCUGGAAUCUUGCAUUUUCAGCGCAGGAAAUUAUCCUCUCGUGCACUUUAAACGCCUCAUGCAGUGUAACAAAAUAACACGAUUUUAUAUCGUUAUUUGUGUUUUAUAACCCAAUAAACUGCUCGACAUACAAGUUCAGAUGAAUUGGAAACAAACAUAUUUGUAUUCAUUACUGAUAAUAAAGAAUACAUUUAUACAUGAUAAAAGCGAUAAAUAUGUUUUAACUUUGUUUGAUGUCUGGCCUGCAGAGUUCCCUUGCAGCGUAUUGGUGGGUUUGAAACAAAGAGGUUUGAUAUUGCGUUCAUGCUUUUGGCUCCAUUACCUUCUGAAUUGGGAGGAAAGGAAAGUUCCCGAGCAACAACUGCAACUGGUCCCCGAAGCAGAAACUCAUCAGCCGAGCAACGGUUCCGCUGCACCAAAGUUCAAAUAGUUCUUCUCUUCCUCCUGGUGUGAUUUCUGCGGAGGUUCAUGAAAGGAGGACGAGGCUGGUGCCUCGAUUACAGAGAUGCGUUUGAAUAAAUGCCGAGUUCACCGUGGAGGAGCAGAUCAUUCGGCUGUGGGCAAAUUAUGACUUUUAUGUUUUACACAAAAUCGAAUGAUUCCUGUGAUUUAUUUUUACAAUAAGAACAAAAACGCUCUUUCAGGAAGCAUCUGUGCUAAACAUUUAGUUAUUGGCCAAUUUUGUCUAUAAUUAUGCACUCGUGUAUGUGAGUGGGUCACAAGUUUGUGAAAGGAAGACUUUCGUUCUCAUAAGUAACAUUUUAAUAUGCAUCAUACUGGGAUUAAUAUCAGCGCAGACGAACAGAGGGGAAAAAAGCAGAAUCACAAUCAUCUUAAGUCUGAUUUAAAUGGAACAAAUCCCCAUUUAAAUACAAAAUAAUGAAUAUUUACUGCGCAUUGAAGCAGAUGUUAAAGCAAUUGUGUCCACAAGUUUUCUGCCACAAUGCAUUAUCUUUUUUUGAAUACUAUAUCAACAUUCAUUGUUCAUUAAAAAUAAAACCACAGAAUGGUUGUUAAAUUAUUAAAACAAUCUUGUGUAAAAAGAGCAAUUCCUCAACUCGUACCGCUAAUGGAGUCUUUUUGAGUGCUUUAAAUCUUCAAUUGAAAGGUCUGUGACAAUAGUGGCCCUGAAAAAGCGCCACCAGGAGUAAACGACCGUGAACCCGUCAGGUUAUCGGUGCAAAGUGGAGAUUUGCCGGGCCGCCUUCUCUCCGCGUUAAAGUUAACCAACUUCAGCGGAGUAAUUCGUCAGGUUGACGUCUCCCGCGCUCCCCGUACAAGACAGCAAGUUGACUAAAAUAAGGACUUCUUGUUCCCGACGCUCGGCCUCCGUCUCCAAAGUCGAGAAGGAACUCGUGGCUGCCGGUUUUAAUCCCACAUGUGUGGAUGUUGUUUAGCCUCGCGUUAGCAUCAGCUAGCCGCUAAUCGCCGCUGUGUUGGUGCUAAUUGCACAAUGCUUUGCUGGCUGUUCCCGUUUGUGGUGUUCUGUUAUUAAUGUUGCAUUUUUAGUAUUUCCUGUUUGUUUUUUUGUAAACAUUGUGGUUGUCCUGAACCCCAACACGACCCAUCGACCUAAUUAUUCCCUUCGACCAAAACCUUUUUAUUCUCGGGACGUUUCCCCUGAGGCUUGGAGCAUCUUUUACAUUUUCUAAAACUGGACCGGAGAGACUCUCUCCAAUGGAUCAACAGAUAUAGAACAUUGUUCCGUACAGCUGCGGCAAACACGGCAGCCUGAAGGAUUCGUUUCCGUAAUUGCCCCCCAAUUAACCAGCGACUAAAACGGUGUGUGUCCUGCAGCAGUUUCCUCUGCUCUGUCCUCAAACUCCAUCCACGUUGUGCUGUGCCCGAAUUCAAAGGACACAUUCCCUUUGGAAGACAAGCGCUCCCUUUAUUAGCUCGCGCUGCCCUUUAAUUGCUGCUUGUUGCACUGGGAAACGAUCCCCGAUGUAUUUAUCAGUGGCAUUAAACUGCCAACAUUUCUAAUUUCGAAGUCGUCUUUUUUUUAAAUAACACAUUUCAUGUGCAGUGGAACAAGAAACGCAGAUGAUUCGUCCUAAACUCUGAAUAGAAAAUCUGCAUGAGAACUCUUCCAACAACAAACGCGGCCCUUCGAUUGUCCCUUUUGACACUCGAGCUUCUGCUCAGUGAACGUGAGGAGUCGCCGCGACGUGAUGUGUGGCUGAUAACGUGACAGUUUCGUUAAAUGACGUCUUUGGGUAGUUUCCAAAUGAGUACCGAUCAAUAAAAUCCUACCAGAGGAACUUGUCGUCUCCCGUUAAACAACAACACGUGAAACAACUUUAAGCUUUUCUGUGGAACUUUCCUCUUCUAAUCCCAGGCGUCGGGUUCAAAUCCUUCAGAAUCUCUGCUCUCGUGUGGAAAUCACUGACACAAACUUCAUUAUCGACGGGUUCUAUGGAAAUUUUGCCUUGAUUAUCUGAAAAAAAUGUUUUCUCAAAAUAAAGUAUUUGAGAACACGUUGACUCCAUAAAGGAAAUAUUAAGCAUCUGAGAGCAGGGUCCCAUUAUUCAGCAGAAAGCCAAAUGGCCUGCAGGGUUUGUUUCCAUAAUUGUGAAUGUUGUAUUAUUUAUAUUAAAAAGCUUUCAUUUCUGUUUUGUAAUUCACAGCGUUACCACAACGUGUGCUCCGCUGAAGAUGCAUCUUAUUUUAUCAUCUUUACACCUUUUCCGCCCGACCAAAACGGAAAAAGCUCCCGCUCUGCAGCGCCGGCUUUUAUUUUCCAAACAAUUCCUAAUAAUCCUGCAGCCUCGUCCACCCUCGUGAACCUCCGGAGACGAGACGCCGCCGUGAUACUUUCCAUCUGCUCGCAUCUCAUCUCCCCGUCGAGUGCGGUGAAGGAGUCCGCCGAGCAGACUGACGCCCGAGACGAAUCAGUCACGCGUGCUGACGGCGUCCCGCGGUGAAAUGUCCAGGUUGUCCACGAGAAGACGAGCCGAGGCCCGUUUCGCUUGGCUCGGGGGGGGAAACACACACACACACACACACACACACGGGCAUCGAACGACGUUGGAGACACUUGACUUCAUGAAGUGUUUACUUCUCAAGACGCCCCCACAGGAAGCUGCACAUGUUCCUGAUUUUAAAAAGAGAAGAUGAGCCCACGUUCUAGGAUUCACAAAUAUUCUGUUUUAAUGAUGGAUGGAAGAACGGGAAGGACCCGCCGCGUGACCUUUCACCUUGGAGUUGCAUUGGUUAAGUUGCUCUUCAUGCGGUUUCCGGUUUGCGUCGACCUCCCAAACAAGGCGUCUGAGACGUUAAGCAUUUGUCUGCGUCUCUACUCCUCGAGGUUUUAGCAGUUUAAAAAAGCCCUUAACAAAAGGGGAUCAGAUUAGAACACUUUGGGCUGAAAGAGCCCUGAGAUGUAAAUGACUUUGCCUAAUUGCCGCGUUUAGCCUCCGACGGUGUGGUUGGAAAUAGGGGAGCGAUUAGAAGAAGGAAGACGUGCUGCAGGUGCAGCGGAGGAAGGACGUAGUAAGAAUUUUCACAAUAAGACGAAUAAGUGUUCGUCACUGUUCCACUUACUGCCCCUCGGAUGGAGGACAAAGUCCUCUCUGCACCAUCUGGGGGCCGCGUCUUGCUGAACGGUGCACGGAUCUCGGGGAGAUAUCCAUUUUCGCGGCGCGCCGACGUGCUAAUACGCGGCUCUUUGCCCGCGAGCGUCAACACAACGAGAGGCGGAGUGGAGCCUUCCUUCGCUUUCUUCCCCCCCAAACAUCAUCUCUGGGUUUGUUUUGCGGCGCUUUCAGCUCAGGAAAUAACAAGUAGGUUGAGCCGUUUUAACCGUUUUUAGAUAAACGGUCGGCUCGCUCGACCCCGCAGCUCCAUUUACGCAAAUCUAUUCGUCGUCUAAAUGGAAAGUAUCGAUUUUUGAAAGGACGUUAAUGUGAGGAUGUCCUUCGGAAAGAAACGACUCUCACUCGCACAACACUUGGACCCGAAGGUUUUAAUUCCCCACAGCGCUCUUAACUUGGCGAAGGAAAUGAGCGGCUUUGUAAUUGGACGCAAAGCACCUUGCUCAAUAAACGGCGCUGUGAAUUCACAUUCGACUUAAUAAUGAGAAAAUGUUUGUUUGUCGUGGAAGCAGGUUGUGUUUAAAGUGGCACACGUGCUGCAUAAUCUUCUCUUUGUUGGUGAGAUUCUCCGACUUUAAAGGGAAAAGCUCUUUGUUGGACCGCGCAAAUCCGCCGCGUCUCCCUCCCGUAGCCGCAGCCUCAUUCUAGAAGAAAGCAACAAAGAGGCUGGUUUUAUUGCGACAAAUAGCACCGAAAUCAUCAGAUUAUUCAAAAAAAUGUAAGACGAAAGGGGAUACACGUUCAAAUAAAAGCCUUUCAAGGCUGUUUUGUGGCCUUUUAAUCUGCAUGAAGCCUGCGCUCAUCAGCUUCAUCGGCUUUGUUCUCCACAUCUGAUGCUUACGUGGAUGGAAAUCGGUUCAUUAAAGCCAUCAGCAGCCACUCGAUGACUAAGUUGAAGUUAAAAACAGAACUUCAAGGAGUCUUGAGUCGUAUAACUUUGAGGGAGGAAUGGCGUCGGAGGAAAUCGAGGCGGAAAGUCAAAAGGCUUAAAACUUGAGGAUGUAAAGAAUUGAGCAACAACUUGAGAUCAACGUCUUAAGAAAUCUCAUUUCCUACUCUAAACCAUUUUAAAACAACAAGCCAGAGCUAAAGUUGUCCUGUCACUGCUCAACGCGUCUCACAGCACAUCGACAGGUGCCGAUACGUUCCGGCAGGUAUGAAGCGCAUUACUUUUACCAUUGAAGGUGAAAAGCACAUGUGGUGCACAGCUUUCCCAGACAGUUUUAUGAAAAAUGACGUCGAGCCCAAGAGCUGCACAACCUGCAGCCACGUAGCUUCUCGCUGCACGGAGGUGAGUUUGUGCUUCAAGGAAAAACAAACCACUCCUUGAGAUGAACCCAUUCCCCACAGAUUUCUGAUGCGCUUUAUUGUACAUAUUUUCCAGAACAGCAAAAUAUAGAUUAAAUAUGUACAUAAUGCUUUAAUCCCGCGCAAUGCAGUGUGGCACAAUGGGCGCUUUAGCUGUAAGGGAAAAUCACAAUCCCCGUUCAUCAGAACUGAAAAGCAACAAAUUGAGUUCGGCAAACGGCGUCCUCGGAGCACGCAUCUCUCUCCGCGUCUGUAAACCUUUCAACCACGGAAUCACAAGUGUAUCAUUAACUGGCAGCUUCCUCCAACAUAUUAUCACACUGGUGGAGCGCUGUGAAUAGAUUAUCCAUAGAGCCUGAUGACUGUGUGGGAUGUGAGCGUAGGAGUGUGCACGGGAGCGCCAGCGACAACCGGCAGCUGAUGUCUUCGGCACAUUCACAGCGGCUCCUCGUCUGAGGAAUCGUACAUUCCAGCAGCGACUUCGCGGCACCGAUUUAACAGGAGAGACGUGGGAUGAGGAUGAGGAUGAUGGAACGCUGCUGUCUUCAGGGCGAGGAGAGCAAACCGAACAAACGCGCACAAGCAAGGUUUGCAAACAGACUGCCGGCCUUGGGGAUGAAUACAAGUCGGCGUGGAUUCUGGUCAGGUGGUCCAUGUUGGCCGCCUGGGGGGCCACAGGGGCCCUCUGAGCUAAUGACCAUUCAGGAAACAUUGAUGACAUGACGAGACACAUUGAACAUGUGUUCUCUCUGUCAUUGUCUGAAUUGAACAGACUGCUGCCUGUAGCUGUGUUAUUUCCCUCGUCAUUAGGUCCACAUUUCACAUGAUUAUUGACUACAAAAACCCCACUAACCAUUAAAAGACUUCGAUAUUUUGAUGUCUGGUGUUUGAACAUACGGUGACAUUGGCUCUUCUCCACGUCAACCAGCCGUACGGACGAUUUGGGAUUCUGGAAGCAUUCGGAAGGGCCGAAGUCUUGCGUUGGUGAUGUAAUCGCGUAUGAAAACGAACACAACAUAUUUAAAUGCGGCACUCCCGGCAGGUCAAAGGGAGACGCUCCCCCGGAGACGAGGCGGGCAGGUGGAGACACCAGGAACCCGGCGUCGGUGCACUAAGCUGCAUAUCAGGAAUGCUAAUGCUCGACGGGGGCCUGAAAUACUAAUUGUGUUCCUGUUAAUCAACGAGACUGACAACGGGCCGGGCGAGCUCCGGAGGACCGGGAGGAAAUCAAUUAACAUACAAUGUGUUGUUGUGCUUGUUUAAAAUAAUGGAAAAGCUUCGGGACGCGACGGCCGCCGAAGGUGCAUUGUUCUCGUCGCUUUGGUUAAUUGCGAAAAUCCGGAGCCUUUUGAAGCCGCGUGGAAGUUUGUGCAGUUUGUCGAGACUUGAACUCCACCCGCCUGAUGGAUUGUGUCUCGGGGUAAUCCUAAUUGAACGUGUAUUGGCCAUGCAGCUUACAUUGUUUUGGCACUUAUUAAAAACCAGGUCGAAGGAGAAUUCUAAUGUGGUUCCUGCGAUUGAAAUAGAAGAUAAACAAGAGUCCGGAUCGCUUUUGCUUGAGGAGACCAGUAACGCUUGACUUGUCACUACAUCUCCUCUAAUUGGGCUUUAGGGACCUCCUUGUUCUGUGUUUUAGAUUCAUUCUCAUGAAGCAAUCGUUGUUCGGAGUUGAAUGUCUUUGUUGUCUGUACUAUGGAUUACAGUCUUCCCUGGCAAUUAGUUUAAUCAUUUUAACAGGAUAUCGGCAAUAAAAUAAAUAGCCAUUGCAUUCAUUUACCUUAAAAGAGAAAUAAGCAUUUCUAGUUCUUUAAGACCGUAUCAACAAUGUCGAGAGCAUUGCUGUCAAAAUGUAAUUAUAUGUUCAUGUUUUUUAAAUGAGGUUGAUUCGGUGAACACUGCAGUCAUUUACCGCAGUAAUACCACAAAUUGAUCUUUUGGCAAAAUGGUCCGAAUUAGUCCAAAUAAUCUAUUUCUUGUUUUAAAAUUGCAGGCAAAUAUAUAGAAAAACAAACGGUAACAACUUUUUUGCCAGUUCAGUGUGCAGCACGCAGCCACGUUACAGCCUGGAGUCCGUGCAGUAAACUGUGGCUGACGUGGGUGCUCACUGCUCCUGACAGAGCGCUCACGGGUCCCCAGGGUGCUGCGUGGAGAGGCUUCACCGCCUCAUCCGCUCAGUGCACAUAGACUGUGGGGGAGUGGGGGGCUGAGGGGGGGGCUCAGUCCUGUCGACUCACUGGCAAAGGCACAGACGCGUACUGUCAGAUGUGCCUUUCGACCGGGUAGCCCAACUUCUGUGGUCGCGUGAAGCUACGUGACCUCUUUACCUCGUCCAUGUCGGUUUUUGGAGAGUUUUUUAAAAAAAAUUUUACAUUUCCGUACCCUCGGGUUCAAGCGGCGGACUGGGAAAGUGUGAAACUGUCCAAAAGGUUGAUUUGAGGCUGUGAUAAGAGCUGUUCAUCUGCACAGAAAACGCCCUUUGUGGGUUUUGGAGCCCAGAAUAGCAAUAAAAACAUACAUUUAGAAACCCAUCAGGUGGCUUGGUGGGGGCGUUCGAGUGAGAAGAGGAAAAACAUGUGUCUAAUAUGUGUCUAUAUAUCAUAGGAAUAGAGAAACAGAAGAUAAUAAUACAAUAAGAAAGGAUUUUAACACCAUAUAUAAUUGGAAGCCUCUGUAAUCCCUUAUAAAUAGUUUCUUCAAGAAAUUUGAUUAGGAGGAUACAACUGGACAACACAAGCUAUGGACUAAAUUAUCUAGACAUUUUUGGUCAGAUGCUGCCUCUGCUGUGCUUUGAGUUUUGUGCCACUACCUCUAACAGUUCAAGCCAAACCCCCCCGACUACGCCGUCAUCAGAGAUUGGUAAGAAUAGCACUUGGCGCCUGAUAGGAGGGUCUAGUAAGGCAAAGGCCUGACGGGGCUUCACGAGUUGGCGCCUCCAUUCAGACCUGGUUCAGCAACGUGGGCCCUGAUGGCCAUGACCGGUAUUCCGUCCAGCCACCUUCUCACCGACUCUGGGCGCUGCAGUGUUAAAUUAAAACUAAUAAUCCCCAGACGUAACAUCAGUGUCAGCAGCAGUAGGCUGAUGGGUAAUGGACUAAUUGCUCUCCUGCUUAAAAAGAAUCCAGUCAGCCAAAUUAAGUUUCCAGUUUAAAAUGGUUCCUCCUACAGUGAUGAUCUGCAAUUACGGUUGCAAAACUGCAUCUCCAGCAAGUUGCAUAUCAUGAAGAAGCAACAUGUAACAAUGUAGAGCGAUUACAAAAGAGCGUUGGGUACCUUUUCAAUACCUUUUAAUGCCUGUAAUGCUGUAGCAUAGAGACUAAAUCAUGUCAGUGCUGUCCACAUACAAUACAUCUCAACAAAGCCCUCUCGCUGCCACAUGAACACUUGUGUGCAUUGUCGUAGUCGGACACUUUGAGGGAUGUCAUUUCUUCUCAUUUGUUGUGAGUUCUCGUCGGCUCCAAAAUGUGGAGAUUUCUUACUUGCAUUUCUGGACCCUGAGAAAUGCUGGUAAGGCUGCAGAGGUUCCGUGAAGUUGAUGCACAAACACUGGU
ensembl:lncRNA